AGCGAACGCUGGCGGCAGGCCUAACACAUGCAAGUCGAACGAACCUUUCGGGGUUAGUGGCGGACGGGUGAGUAACACGUGGGAACGUGCCUUUAGGUUCGGAAUAACUCAGGGAAACUUGUGCUAAUACCGAAUGUGCCCUUAGGGGGAAAGAUUAAUCGCCUUUAGAUCGGCCGGCGUCUGAUUAGCUAGUUGGUUGAGUUAAUGGCUCCCCAAGGCGACGAUCAGUAGCUGGUCUGAGAGGAUGAUCAGCCACAUUGGGACUGAGACACGGCCCAAACUCCUACGGGAGGCAGCAGUGGGGAAUCUUGCGCAAUGGGCGGAAGCCUGACGCAGCCAGGCCGCGUGAAUGAUGAAGGUCUUAGGAUUGUAAAAUUCUUUCACCGGGGACGAUAAUGACGGUACCCGGAGAAGAAGCCCCGGCUAACUUCGUG
rnacentral:rRNA from 1 species